ensembl:lincRNA
CCUCUUGUGAGGACUUGUAAGACCCUCUUGGGGAAAGCAUGAUUUGAAGGCCCAUGGCACCCACCGGAUCUCCUAGGUCUUCUCCAGCACCAGCCCUAGUUUGCUGGGGAAGUUUCCUUGGGUGCCUGUUUGUGCUGUGGGUAAAGCCUGAAAAGCACUAUGUACAGGCAGUCUCAUUAGCCUAUUGAAAAGCAAUAAUAUUCCACUAUUUGUGGAAGAAUCCUUUGCAAUUAUAGCAAGCAGAAAAAUUAUUAGGGAACUAAGUUAUUAGAUUCAUUCCAUGGAACAUUUUUUUAAAAACCAAGUUCAUUUUCCUGAGAAAAUUUAAUGCAAUCUACCCCUCUUUUAAAGCCGCCUGAUGCCACCAUGCUCUGCCUGUAGCAGCAAGCUGAUGCCCAAAACUGGAGGACAUCAUGGUGAUACACCACAGAGAACAUGGCUGGGGCAUGUGCCAGGUAGGACAAUGCAGGGAAGCCAAAAACAAUGGGAGAAAACACAAUAAAGUGAGACCCACCCGGAUGGUAAACACAGCAGCAGAGCCACACACGUACUUCCUUUCUGGGAGCGGUGGGGAAAGCAGCCUGGCAGGUCAGGAGAUGGAUGGAAACUGCUGGGGAUGCAGGAAGCCUGGGGCACUAACUGGAGUUGUUAUGGCCUUGCUUUUUUUCUUUUUCUUUACAGGUUUUGUUUUCUAGACUACAGAACUGUUCAUUUCUCAGAAGAAGACCCAGGCUGACUUCCCCAGCCCUCCUCCCCAAGUUAGCCAUUUUGAAAUCACUUGGCAGGCUGUGCCCUGCACUAGUGGACACAUGCUGGUACCUUUGCUACCUGGUAAUAUGUGGAUAAUCUUCUGAUUUAGAACACCAUUUCACCUCUGAGACUCAGAGUGGGGAAGUAAUUUGUUCAAGGUAACUGAGCUUGUCAGUAGGAAGAUUUGAGAUCCAGACCCAGGUUAGUCAGGUACAGCCUAUGUACUUGUCGCCCUCUUCAGAAGGUCAUGACUUUCACUUUCUAUGGAGCAGAAAACUAAAGAAAUGCCAAAUCUCCACCAUUUAAGAAUCUGAGGAGGAAGAGGAGACAGGUAAAAUUACAGAUUUAGCAUUUGGAAGUGAUCUGAUUUUUAAGUUUAAUGCCAAUGCUAAAAGGUUGGCUGGUAUUUUAGUGGGAUACCCAACUCCUCUCUUUGGUCUUCAAGCCUUACACAGAUUUCUUAUCUUUGGUGGCUGUUUUCAUACCAGAAUCCACCUGACAGCUCUAGUCUGGCUGUCCCACAGCCUUAACUAAUACUUACUAUUUCUGGGGAAAGAAGAUUGAAGAGGGAAGAGCAAGAGAGAGAGAAAAGGAAGGGGGCUGGGAAAAUGGAAAGAUUUGUAGGUUACAAUUUUUAUUAUAACCAGCUAACUUCAUAUAAACAUAAACUAGACUCAAAAGUCUAAUGCUUUAUAUCAUGCUAAAUUAAUUUUUGGGCUAUAUCAGUGACUGUAGAUCCAGUUUUACUACUUUUACAACAUGUAUUUCCUAAAUAGACUUCCAGGUAUUUACAUAUUUUCUUUAAGCUUUUUCAGUACAUAACAUCUUAUUUAAUCCUUGCAAUCACCCUGUUAAACUGAAAAUUUUAACUUGUGGCCAAGAGAGGUUAAAGAACUAGCGAAAGGUCACAAUUCUAGUGCAGGGUGAAAUCUGGACAUCCUGACCUUCAGUGGCUAGUAGAGCACCCUAUUUUUUUUUUAGACAGGGUCUCAUUCUGUCACCCAGGUUGCAGUGCAAUGGCACGAUCUUGGCU